ACCAUGGCCAGAAUAAUGUUUCUUCUUGCUCUCCUCACUUAUGGAUCAGGGGUGAAUUCUCAGACUGUGGUGACCCAGGAGCCAUCAUUGCCUGUUGCUCCAGGAGGGACAGUAACACUCACCUGUGGCCUUAAUUCUGGAUCAGUGUCUACAAUUUACUACCCCAAUUUGUUUAAGGAGAUCCCUGGCCAAGCUCCUUACAUGCUUAUCUAUAGCACCAACAACCACCUCUCUGGGGUCCCUGAUUUCUUCUCUGGUGCCAUCACAGGGAAUAAAGCCUCCCUCACAAUCACAGGAGCUCAAAUGGAGGAUGAAGCUGAUUAUUACUGUGCACUGUGUAUGGGAAGUGGCAUUUACACAGUGAUCCAAACACCUGGGGUAGUGAUACAAAAACUUGUUCAUAUUCUCAGAAUGGAUCAGUACAACCAUGCAGAAGGGAAGGUGAGGGUGUGA